ensembl:snRNA U1 U1 spliceosomal RNA
AUACUUACCUGGCUGGGGAGCUACCAUGGUCAUGCAGGUAGUUUUCCUAGGGUGAGGCUUAUCUGUUGCACUUAGGAUGUACUGACUCCUGCAAUUUCCCCAAAUAUAAGCUACUCAACUGCACAAUUUGUGGUAGAGGUAGGCUGUGUUUGUGCUUUCCACUA